AACGAACGCUGGCGGCGCGCCUAAUACAUGCAAGUCGAGCGAGAAGACGUAGCAAUACGUUUGUAAAGCGGCGAACGGGUGAGGAAUACAUGGGUAACCUACCCUCGAGUGGGGAAUAACUAGCCGAAAGGUUAGCUAAUACCGCGUACGCUCCUUGGACUUCGGUUCAGGGAGGAAAGCGAUACCGUGGGUAUCGCGCUCUUGGAUGGGCUCAUGUCCUAUCAGCUUGUUGGUGAGGUAACGGCUCACCAAGGCUUCGACGGGUAGCUGGUCUGAGAGGACGAUCAGCCACACUGGCACUGCGACACGGGCCAGACUCCUACGGGAGGCAGCAGUAAGGAAUAUUGCGCAAUGGGCGAAAGCCUGACGCAGCGACGCCGCGUGGGGGAUGAAGGUCUUCGGAUUGUAAACCCCUUUCGGGAGGGAAGAUGGAACGAGCAAUCGUUCGGACGGUACCUCCA
rnacentral:rRNA from 1 species